UACAGAGGUGGCAAGCGUUGUCCGGAAUCAUUGGGCGUAAAGCGCGCGUAGGCGGCCCUGUAAGUCCGUUGUGAAAGUCGAAGGCUCAACCUUCGAAAGCCGAUGGAUACUGCAGGGCUAGAGUCCGGAAGAGGCGAGUGGAAUUCCUGGUGUAGCGGUGGAAUGCGCAGAUAUCAGGAGGAACACCAAUAGCGAAGGCAGCUCGCUGGGACGGUACUGACGCUAAGGCGCGAAAGCGUGGGGAGCGAACAGG
rnacentral:rRNA from 1 species